CCUACGGGCGGCAGCAGUGAGGAAUAUUGGUCAAUGGACGAGAGUCUGAACCAGCCAAGUAGCGUGAAGGAUGACUGCCCUCUGGGUUGUAAACUUCUUUUAUAAAGGAAUAAAACGAGGCACGUGUGCCUUUUUGCAUGUACUUUAUGAAUAAGGAUCGGCUAACUCCGUGCCAGCAGCCGCGGUAAUACGGAGGAUCCGAGCGUUAUCCGGAUUGAUUGGGUUUAAAGGGAGCGUAGAUGGGUUGUUAAGUCAGUUGUGAAAGUUUGCGGCUCAACCGUCAAAUUGCAAUUGAUACUGGCAGUCUUGAGUACAGUUGAGGUAGGCGGAAUUCGUGGUGUAGCGGUGAAAUGCUUAGAUAUCACGAAGAACCCCGAUUGCGAAGGCAGCUUACUAAACUGUGACUGACAUUGAUGCUCGAAAGUGUGGGUAUCAAACAGGAUUAGAUACCCCUGUAGUC
rnacentral:rRNA from 1 species